GGAGGGAAAGAGAGGAAGGGAAAGAGAGAGAUGGAACAACAGGUCUUAAAAGCCCAGUGUGAGUCAUCUGGAGUGACGUCUAUAUGGAGCCUUCAUCCCCCUCUCCAUGCUAUGGGCGAGAGGCUGUGGACACGUUUGUGGAGAGACACUCCAUCACUGACGACUGAAGGGACUGAUUCAGAGGCACACACUAGGUGUGAGAGACACAUCUCUGAUAUGAUUCUCCCCUCAACACCCUAUACCAUCCGAAUCUAUUGCCAUCUCUUUCCGGUUCACUUCACACCUGACGGAUGGAUGUCUUGUUCCCAUCACACUAUAUUACUGGCAGUCAGUGAUUUCCCAGAAAUCAAUGUAGUGGCUGGACCUAAGCUGUAUCUGGCUAAAAAUCAACUGUCUGUUUAAAAUGUCUUCAUCUUUCACAGAACACAUGGAGCCUUUUUUCCCACAACAAAGAGGCGCUCAGAUGAGCCCUCUGGUGGUGACUUGGUGGAAUGAUAUAAACAAAGCACCAUCCUGGUUGCCAGGCCUCUCCAUAGUAACCCAUAUGGGCGAAGAGGCUGCAUCCACACAGCCAGACACCUCACACACCACUACACUCGCCAUACGGGACACAAAAAUGCUGAUUUAUGAUUUAUAAGUGCACUUGAGUCAUUUCCUGAACAGAAUCUGUCACCAGACCGAGAGCAGUUUUAUACUCAGUUCUUUACAUUGUCUUUCUUUGUAGCAGACGCUCGUAACCAUACACUUUUACCAGAGCAGGUACACACUUUCAUCAAAACUGGUCAUGUUUCAUGUUCAUAACUCCUUCCACUGUCGGUUGCUCCAGCAUCCAGCCAGCAACAGGACCACCUCACCUUAAUAUACCUGUAGAGGAGUCUUCCAGAAACCUAAAACGAGUGGAGCGGCUCUGUAUGUGAUUCUUGCUGUAUAUCCUCCUAUAGCUACUCAGGACUGUGUUUCCCGGAAGCGUUGUUGAGCUACCACCAUGGUUAAUGUGGAGAGAGAGAGAGAGAGAGAGAGAGACAGUGUGUUCAAAAUGGUAGGCUCUCUAUCAUACAUCAGUGCUACUUGUUUAACUAUGCUUUUGGGAAAUGCACCCCAGACACAUGUACAGAUGCUUCCUUAAUGUAAGUAGGAUAUUGGAAAGAAAAACAAACUAAGUGGUGACAAUGACAGCUGGAGAGAGCUGAAUUUAAAUAGAGAUGAAUCGGUGUGUGCUGAAGGAGACUGAGACAAACCUCAGGAGUGAGAGGGAGAGUCCACCAUCCUGAAUUAUACAUGGACUUUACAUUACAGUAACCAUUUUAAGUGUGUGUCCAUGAAUAAGUAAAGGUGAAGAGGACCGGUAAUGAAUGUUUAUAUUUUUGUUUAUGUUUAUGAUGUAUGUUUACAUUUGAAUGUUAUUUCCAGAACAAUAAAUAUGGCUUCCCUUCUCCAGUAAAUGACAGCAUGAUUAGAUUAGAUUAGAUUGUGUUCAUACAGCAGCCUGAUACAGCCGUCUGUGCUGCUGGUGGCUUAUAAAUGAGGAAAUACACUGGGGGAAAAAAACUGAAAGGAGAGAUUAAAAAAAUCAUCUUGACAAAUGUUUCUAAACAACCCAUUCACCGCUCGGCUAAAAGACUAGCCUCAGAAUGCAGACUGCUCUUAGCUCUUCCUCCUCAUCCUCAUCUUCCUCUUCCUCUGUGAGAGAGAGGAAACACCACUGGAGCUGCCAUCUCACCAGAUCCCCAGGCCCUGAUUGUUUGUGGCUCUGGCUAAGGGUCCUGCAUGUUCUCACCAGGACUGAGGAGGUGGGAUAAGGGUCCAGCAUGUUCUCACCCGGACUGAGGAGGUGGGAUAAGGGUCCAGCAUGUUCUCAUUGGGACUGAGGGGGUGGGUUCCUCUGCACAGUUACUGGAGGAACAGGUGUCUCUACCUGAUACCUGCCCAUCUAUCGAUCUAUCUAAUAUUGAUGCUUGUUGAUUUGUCAGCUACCAGAUAGUUCUAAUCCAGUUUCAUAUUAGCCAAUGACAGUUAGUGAAGCUGAGAUGUAAUUACACUGUUUCAGUAAUAUCAGCCAAUCAUUGUUCAGAAAGUUGAAGUCUA
ensembl:lncRNA